rnacentral:rRNA from 1 species
AUGAACGCUGGCGGCGUGCCUAAUACAUGCAAGUCGAGCGAACGGACGAGAAGCUUGCUUCUCUGAUGUUAGCGGCGGACGGGUGAGUAACACGUGGAUAACCUACCUAUAAGACUGGGAUAACUUCGGGAAACCGUAGCUAAUACCGGAUAAUAUUUUGAACCGCAUGGUUCAAAAGUGAAAGACGGUCUUGCUGUCACUUAUAGAUGGAUCCGCGCUGCAUUAGCUAGUUGGUAAGGUAACGGCUUACCAAGGCAACGAUGCAUAGCCGACCUGAGAGGGUGAUCGGCCACACUGGAACUGAGACACGGUCCAGACUCCUACGGGAGGCAGCAGUAGGGAAUCUUCCGCAAUGGGCGAAAGCCUGACGGAGCAACGCCGCGUGAGUGAUGAAGGUCUUCGGAUCGUAAAACUCUGUUAUUAGGGAAGAACAUAUGUGUAAGUAACUGUGUACAUCUUGACGGUACCUAAUCAGAAAGCCACGGCUAACUACGUG